UACGGGGGGGGGUAAGCGUUGUUCGGAAUUACUGGGCGUAAAGGGCUCGUAGGCGGCCAACUAAGUCAGACGUGAAAUCCCUCAGCUUAACUGGGGAACUGCGUCCGAUACUGGCAGGCUUGAAUCCGGGAGAGGGAUGCGGAAUUCCAGGUGUAGCGGUGAAAUGCGUAGAUAUCUGGAGGAACACCGGUGGCGAAGGCGGCGUUCUGGACUGCAACUGACACUGAUGAACGAAAGCCAGGGGAGCAAACGGG
rnacentral:rRNA from 1 species